UGGUCAUUACCAAGGCUUUUAGAAUGCAGUUUCUGAUUGCUGUGGACAUGACCACAAAAAAUUACCCAACAGGUUUAUAUUUGCUACCUUAGGAGCAUUUAACCUUUUGGGAACAGUU
rnacentral:snoRNA from 1 species